rnacentral:SRP_RNA from 1 species
AACCAGGCCCUGCGCAACGUGGAGGUUAUAAACCCCGUCAGGUCCGGAAGGAAGCAGCGGUAGUAACUGAUCCGUGUGCCGCAGGUCGCCUGGUCUAA